UACAGAGGGUGCGAGCGUUGUUCGGAAUUACUGGGCGUAAAGCGCGCGUAGGCGGCCCGGUAAGUCCGCUCUGAAAGUCCAGGCUCAACCCUGGAAUGCGGGUGGAUACUGCCCGGGCUAGAGUCCGGAAGAGGCGAGUGGAAUCCUGGUGUAGCGGUGGAAUGCGCAGAUAUCAGGAGGAACACCAAUAGCGAAGGCAGCUCGCUGGGGCGG
rnacentral:rRNA from 1 species